UGAACUCGCUGUGAAGAUGCAGUGUACCCGCGGCAAGACGGAAAGACCCCGUGAACCUUUACUAUAGCUUGACACUGAACAUUGAGCCUUGAUGUGUAGGAUAGGUGGGAGGCUUUGAAGUGUGGACGCCAGUCUGCAUGGAGCCGACCUUGAAAUACCACCCUUUAAUGUUUGAUGUUCUAACGUGGACCCGUUACCCGGGUUGCGGACAGUGUCUGGUGGGUAGUUUGACUGGGGCGGUCUCCUCCUAAAGAGUAACGGAGGAGCACGAAGGUUGGCUAAUCCUGGUCGGACAUCAGGAGGUUAGUGCAAUGGCAUAAGCCAGCUUGACUGCGAGCGUGACGGCGCGAGCAGGUGCGAAAGCAGGUCAUAGUGAUCCGGUGGUUCUGAAUGGAAGGGCCAUCGCUCAACGGAUAAAAGGUACUCCGGGGAUAACAGGCUGAUACCGCCCAAGAGUUCAUAUCGACGGCGGUGUUUGGCACCUCGAUGUCGGCUCAUCACAUCCUGGGGCUGAAGUAGGUCCCAAGGGUAUGGCUGUUCGCCAUUUAAAGUGGUACGCGAGCUGGGUUUAGAACGUCGUGAGACAGUUCGGUCCCUAUCUGCCGUGGGCGCUGGAGAACUGAGGGGGGCUGCUCCUAGUACGAGAGGACCGGAGUGGACGCAUCACUGGUGUUCGGGUUGUCAUGCCAAUGGCACUGCCCGGUAGCUAAAUGCGGAAGAGAUAAGUGCUGAAAGCAUCUAAGCACGAAACUUGCCCCGAGAUGAGUUCUCCCUGAGACUUAGAGUCUCCUGAAGGAACGUUGAAGACGACGACGUUGAUAGGCCGGGUGUGUAAGCGCAGCGAUGCGUUGAGCUAACCGGUACUAAUGAACCGUGAGGCUUAACCUUACA
rnacentral:rRNA from 1 species